rnacentral:lncRNA from 1 species
UGGAAUCAGCCAUCGAGCAUUCCUUGGGGUGAAGAAGAAAAUAACCAUCCCAAGCCAUCUGAUGUUCCUUGGGGCGAGGAAGAAAACAAUCCCCAACAAUCUGAUGAAGAAAAUAACCAUCCCAAGCCAUCUGAUGUUCUUGGGGGCGAGGAAGAAAACAAUCCCCAACCAUCUGAUGAAGAAAAUAACCAUCCCAAGCCAUCUGAUGUUCCUUGCGGCGCGGAAGAAAACAAUCCCCAACCAUCUGAUGAAGAAAAUAACCAUCCCAAGCGAUCUAAUGUUCCUUGGGAUGAGGAAGAAAACAAUCUCCAGCAUUCUGAUGUUCGUUCUUGGGG